AUAUAAGUCAAAAAUUUAACAAAACAAAAAAAAACAUUUGAGCCCUUUCUUUUAAAAAAAACAUUCAAACACUCCCUCUAAUUCUCUGUCCUCAUUCAAAUCUGGCCAUUGCUCAGGUGACGGACCACCGUACCGGCCACACCGCCGGCCAGCAUGCACGGUGGCCGGAGCUCAAAGAAAUUUAAAAUUUCCGGCGGUUUUAAGGGUUAACGACACGAAUCACCGCGACGGUGAGGGAACUGAUAACGGCUCGAUACGAGGCCUGUGAUGCUUGCGGCGCUGAAAGGUGCAGAAACCCUAGGGUUCCUGACCUAGGGUUAAGCAUUUGGGCUUUUGGGGUGCAGCUUAUUGGGUCUUAGGAGUAGGCUCUUUAAAAAUGGGUCUGUAAUGUAACGGGUUGGGUCUGCCGGGUAGUGUUGGUGUUUGGGUUUGAUUUAGGCUAAAGGGUAUUGGGUGUUGGGUUAUUUUUAGGGUGUAAAUGAGUCUGAUAAGUUUGGUCUGUUUGGAUUUGUGCUUCAGGUGUAUUUGGGGUUUUGGGUAGUAACAAUGGGUCUGCUGGUUUUUUAACAUUUGUAAAGACUGUUAAAAACUUUUAUUAUUAUUAUUUUUUGAUA